UGGCCGUGGUGGCGCCGCUGGGCUUCAACUUCAGCGACGGCUGCCU
rnacentral:tRNA from 13 species